UCCAGCAGUAGUCAGCUGUCCGGACAGCCAUUCCUGUGAUGGUGUUACACUGCUGGGAGAGCAAUUUCUUGUCUUCUUUAUCCAGUUGCCUGUGUCAUUGUUCUAGUGGCCCGUGGUGCUGGUGCAAGGCAGAACUAUGCUUCCUUGAGAGUGUGCUAAGCAUUUGCUUUAGAUGCUUAAUUCUAGUCUGGGAGCAGACACA